GAUGAACCACUUCGGUGGGGAUUAGUGGCGAACGGGUGAGUAACACGUGGGCAAUCUGCCCUUCACUCUGGGACAAGCCCUGGAAACGGGGUCUAAUACCGGAUAAUACUUCUGCUCUCAUGAGCAGGGGUUGAAAGCUCCGGCGGUGAAGGAUGAGCCCGCGGCCUAUCAGCUUGUUGGUGAGGUAAUGGCUCACCAAGGCGACGACGGGUAGCCGGCCUGAGAGGGCGACCGGCCACACUGGGACUGAGACACGGCCCAGACUCCUACGGGAGGCAGCAGUGGGGAAUAUUGCACAAUGGGCGAAAGCCUGAUGCAGCGACGCCGCGUGAGGGAUGACGGCCUUCGGGUUGUAAACCUCUUUCAGCAGGGAAGAAGCGAAAGUGACGGUACCUGCAGAAGAAGCGCCGGCUAACUAC
rnacentral:rRNA from 1 species